UACGAAGGGGGCUAGCGUUGUUCGGAUUUACUGGGCGUAAAGCGCACGUAGGCGGGUCUUUAAGUCAGUGGUGAAAUCCUCCUGCUCAACGGGAGAACUGCCAUUGAUACUAUUGAUCUUGAAUUCAGUUGAGGUGGGCGGAAUGUGUCGUGUAGCGGUGAAAUGCUUAGAUAUGACACAGAACACCGAUUGCGAAGGCAGCUCGCUAAACUGAUAUUGACGCUGAGGCACGAAAGCGUGGGGAUCAAACAGG
rnacentral:rRNA from 1 species